rnacentral:rRNA from 1 species
GACGAACGCUGGCGGCGUGCCUAACACAUGCAAGUCGAACGGAACUGUUUUGAAAGAUUUCUUCGGAAUGAAUUUGAUUUAGUUUAGUGGCGGACGGGUGAGUAACGCGUGAGUAACCUGCCUUCAAGAGGGGGAUAACAUUCUGAAAAGAAUGCUAAUACCGCAUGAUAUAUCGGAACCACAUGGUUUUGAUAUCAAAGAUUUUAUCGCUUGAAGAUGGACUCGCGUCCGAUUAGUUAGUUGGUGAGGUAACGGCUCACCAAGACCGCGAUCGGUAGCCGGACUGAGAGGUUGAACGGCCACAUUGGGACUGAGACACGGCCCAGACUCCUACGGGAGGCAGCAGUGGGGGAUAUUGCGCAAUGGGGGCAACCCUGACGCAGCAACGCCGCGUGAAGGAUGAAGGUUUUCGGAUUGUAAACUUCUUUUAUUAAGGACGAAAAAUGACGGU